CCCUUAGAUGUUCUGGGCCGCACGCGCGCUACACUGACGAAUGCAACGAGCUUAUAACCUUGGCCGAAAGGUCUGGGUAAUCUCCAAAUUUCGUCGUGAUGGGGAUAGAUUAUUGCAAUUAUUAAUCUUCAACGAGGAAUUCCCAGUAAGUGCAAGUCAUAAGCUUGCGCUGACUACGUCCCUGCCCUUUGUACACACCGCCCGUCGCUACUACCGAUUGAAUGAUUUAGUGAGGACUUCGGACUGGGACCGAUGCGGCUUUCGGGCUGCGUCGGUAUUCUGGAAAGAUGUCCAAACUGUAUCAUUUAGAGGAAGUAAAAGUCGUAACA
rnacentral:rRNA from 1 species